rnacentral:rRNA from 1 species
AUUGAACGCUGGCGGCAUGCCUUACACAUGCAAGUCGAACGGUAACGCGGGGCAACCUGGCGACGAGUGGCGAACGGGUGAGUAAUAUAUCGGAACGUGCCCAGUAGUGGGGGAUAGCCCGGCGAAAGCCGGAUUAAUACCGCAUACGACCUACGGGUGAAAGCGGGGGAUCGCAAGACCUCGCGCUAUUGGAGCGGCCGAUAUCAGAUUAGGUAGUUGGUGGGGUAAAGGCCUACCAAGCCUGCGAUCUGUAGCUGGUCUGAGAGGACGACCAGCCACACUGGGACUGAGACACGGCCCAGACUCCUACGGGAGGCAGCAGUGGGGAAUUUUGGACAAUGGGCGAAAGCCUGAUCCAGCCAUGCCGCGUGCGGGAAGAAGGCCUUCGGGUUGUAAACCGCUUUUGUCAGGGAAGAAACGCUCUGGGCUAAUACCCCGGGGUAAUGACGGUACCUGAAGAAUAAGCACCGGCUAACUACGUGCCAGCCGCCGCCGUAA